AGUGAACGCUGGCGGUAUGCCUAACACAUGCAAGUCGAACGGCCGCACAGUAAGAUCUCGCCCUUACCGUUGGCGAGUGGCGGACGGGUGAGGCAUACAUCACAAUCUUCUUUUUCGUGGGGGAUAACGUAGGGAAACUGACGCUAAUACCGCAUACGAUCUACGGGUGAAAGCAGGGGAUCUUCGGAGCUUUCGCGUUUGUAUUAGCCGGUGCCGGAUUAGCUAGUUGGCUGGGUAAAGGCCCACCAAGGCGACGAUCCGUAGCUGGUCUGAGAGGAUGAUCAGCCACACUGGAACUGAGACACGGUCCAGACUCCUACGGGAGGCAGCAGUGGGGAAUAUUGGACAAUGGGCGAAAGCCUGAUGCAGCAAUACCGCGUGAGUGAUGAAGGCCUUCGGGUUGUAAAGCCCUUUUAUUAGGAAAGAAAAACAGUGGGUUAAUCCACCGCUGUUCUGACGGUACCCAAAGAGUAAGCACCGGCUAACUUCGUG
rnacentral:rRNA from 1 species